AACGAACGCUGGCGGCAUGCCUAACACAUGCAAGUCGAACGAAGCCUUCGGGCUUAGUGGCGCACGGGUGCGUAACGCGUGGGAAUCUGCCCUUGGGUUCGGAAUAACAGUUAGAAAUGACUGCUAAUACCGAAUGAUGUCUUCGGACCAAAGAUUUAUCGCCCAAGGAUGAGCCCGCGUCGGAUUAGCUAGUUGGUGAGGUAAAGGCUCACCAAGGCGACGAUCCGUAGCUGGUCUGAGAGGAUGAUCAGCCACACUGGGACUGAGACACGGCCCAGACUCCUACGGGAGGCAGCAGUGGGGAAUAUUGGACAAUGGGCGAAAGCCUGAUCCAGCAAUGCCGCGUGAGUGAUGAAGGCCUUAGGGUUGUAAAGCCUCGUU
rnacentral:rRNA from 1 species